rnacentral:tRNA from 1 species
GGAUAGGUGUCUGAGCGGUCGAAGGAGACGGUCCUGAAAACCGUUAAGUCUUUACGGGCUUCGCGAGUUCGAAUCUCGCCCUAUCCG